rnacentral:rRNA from 1 species
UACGGAGGGGGCUAGCGUUGUUCGGAAUUACUGGGCGUAAAGCGCACGUAGGCGGCUUUGUAAGUUAGAGGUGAAAGCCUGGAGCUCAACUCCAGAAUUGCCUUUAAGACUGCAUCGCUUGAAUCGCGGAGAGGUGAGUGGAAUUCCGAGUGUAGAGGUGAAAUUCGUAGAUAUUCGGAAGAACACCAGUGGCGAAGGCGGCUCACUGGACGCGUAUUGACGCUGAGGUGCGAAAGCGUGGGGAGCAAACAGG